UGCGGAAAGGAGAACGUCCCAAUGGGUUGGUGGUCCUGUGGCAACCAUUGGUGAUCGGUAGCAGUCACAAGAGCAGGAAAGGAAAAAAAGCAAACGUGUUGAGAGCAACUUUGGAAGGACCAAAGGGCGACUGGAGAAUGGCAGAGUYGCAGGUUGAAAACCACUGUCUUUGUGCCUUGCAAGAAUGUUCAUGAACCUUGAUUCUGUUAUGUAAUAAACCAAUGCAAACUAAUGCAUAUUGUGAAUGUCAGAAAAACUAAAUGUGGCGUUUGUG